GGGGGGGGGGGGGGGGGGGGGGGGCGGGGGGGGGGCGGGGGGGGGGGCGCGGCUGGGGGGGGGGGGGCGGGUGGCGGGCGGGGGGGUAACACGUGAGGAGCCUGCCCUUGACUUUGGGAUAACUUGAGGGAACUGGGGCUAAUACCGGAUAGGCGCUCCUGCUGCAUGGUGGGGGUGGGAAAGUUUCGGCGGUUGGGGAUGGACUCGCGGCUGAUCAGCUGGUUGGUGGGGUAGUGGCUUACCAAGGCUUUGCCGGGUAGCGGGCCUGGGAGGGUGACCGGCCACAUUGGGACUGAGAUACGGCCGAGACUCCUGCGGGAGGCAGCAGUGGGGAAUGUUGCAGAAGGGGCGGAAGCGUGAUGCAGCAACGCCGCGUGCGGGAUGACGGCCUUCGGGUUGUAAACCGCUUUCGCCUGUUACGAAGCGUGAGUGACGGUAAUGGGUAAAGAAGCACCGGCUAACUACGUG
rnacentral:rRNA from 1 species